UACGUAGGGUGCGAGCGUUGUCCGGAAUUAUUGGGCGUAAAGAGCUCGUAGGCGGUCCUAUAAGUCAGUGCUGAAAUAUCCCGGCUUAACCGGGAGGGUGGCAUUGAUACUGUGGGACUUGAGUAAAGUUGAGGUUGGCGGAAUUGACGGUGUAGCGGUGAAAUGCUUAGAUAUCGUCAAGAACACCUAUUGCGAAGGCAGCUAACUAAGCUUUAACUGACGCUGAGGCACGAAAGUGUGGGGAUCAAACAGG
rnacentral:rRNA from 1 species